rnacentral:rRNA from 1 species
GAUGAACGCUAGCUACAGGCUUAACACAUGCAAGUCGUGGGGCAGCGGAUACUUAGCUUGCUAAGUAUGCCGGCGACCGGCGCACGGGUGAGUAACGCGUACCGAACCUGCCCAUCACACAGGGAUAGGCUGGCGAAAGCAAGAUUAAUAUCUGAUGGUCUCAAGUUUAUGCAUGUAGGAUUGAGUAAAGCCUUCGGGCGGUGAUGGAUGGCGGUGCGUCCCAUUAGGAAGUUGGCGGGGUAACGGCCCACCAAACCUUCGAUGGGUAGGGGUUCUGAGAGGAAGGUCCCCCACAUUGGAACUGAGAUACGGUCCAAACACGUACGGGAGGCAGCAGUGAGGAAUAUUGGUCAAUGGGCGAGAGCCUGAACCAGCCAAGGAGCGUGCGGGAUGAAGGCCCUUGUGGUCGUAAACCGCUUUUAUCAGUGAAUAAAGUGCACCACGUGUGGUGUCAUUGCAGGUAGCUGAAGAAAAAGGACCGGCUAAUUCCGUG